AUGGCCGCGACUGGGUCUAGCAAACUGACAUUUAUUUUGAGUGAACGUAACGAGCGGUGUAUUAUUUUAAAUGAUUUUAAGUUUAAUAAAAAACGGACGGAUAAAAAAAAUGUGACGAAGUGGGUUUGCCGGGUAAAAGGAUGUUCUGCGAAGUGCUUUACAGAUUCGAAUGAUGAAGUUAUAAAAGAAGACGGGACCGACAACCACGACACAAAUCUAAAAAAAUUAAGCCGAGCGGCGCUGACAAAUGCAUGCAAACGGAAAGCGACGGAAGACAUAUGUGAACGGCCAGCCAAAAUAAUUAUACAUCCUUAAAAGCGGCAUCGACGUCACUCCGCUGAAGAGACAGUGCAUAAGACUUCCGAACAUCUAUCAAUGCAACAGCCCGGAUCUAUCGCAGCACUCAAACUGCGAAGCAGACCUCCUAAUCUCGAAAACUAGCUCAAGCUGCGAACACAUAAGAGGGAUAUCUCGUCUAAUCAUCUCGAAGAAGUUCCCGAAUACAACCAACUGUUAGCUACCUUCACAACACCGGAAGAGCUCCGCUUCGAUUGUCCUCAACGCACCGACACACAAAAACUCCAAGGGAUCUACUUGAUUCAACAAGGAAAUUGUAAUUUAAUAUUCAAAAACCUUUCUAUAUCCAAAAGUCUAAACUCCAUCUCGAAACCCAUAUUUUUUUCGAAUAAUUUCUUGCUUGAAGAUAUUCCACCUGUCAUUGAUACUCAGAUAGGAUUUUCUAAAUUGGACCCCAUUACUGUGAUAGAUGAAAUGAUUCCACCGAAUCUCAAUAUUGACUUUUCAAGUGCUAUGCAAACACACUACUUGUAUUAUCAUAUUGGCUGUAAUUGCCGUUACGCUCACUAUUCUUAUAGUGCGUAAGGCAAACAACUUCAAACCACUUGUCUCUUUCAGAUAUUUUAACCGCAGAAAGCACACUCCAGUAGCCCCUGAUGAUCCGGAAGCUGGACAACCACUUAACACGUUAAAUCCGGUAUACCCCAAUUUAACCAGUCCCUGUUAAGCGUUAAUCUAAAAGGGGAGUAGUCAUAAACAGCUAUAAUUUGGCAAUACUGCGUUACACUUAUCUUAUAAAAUGUUUCCAUCAUCAAAUUUUAAAGGAUUAUAUUGUCAAAAUCCUAGACGGCUAUCUUCACAACAUAAUCCACCUCGUCCGCCUCACUAAAUUCAUAUUACUAAAUUUUCCUUAUUUAUUUCAUCAUCCGAAUGUUUCACCACCCAAUUGUUAUCUCUGUUCUGAUCCUAUAAAAACUCUGACCACCAUUGUAAAGUUGCUUAUUCUUCGAACGAAUAGUCCGGAUCAACUUAUCAAAAUCUGUAAAUUGAUUCCGUAAUAAAAAGUUUCUUCUACCUUGUCAAAUUGUAUACAGUUUAUUUCAAGUGGAAACUCUUAACUCGAGUGUUUCGGGCGAUGGCUUUCUAGAAAGCCUAUUACUUGUAUCGCUGUACCUGGUCCACGAUCCACA
rnacentral:lncRNA from 1 species